rnacentral:rRNA from 1 species
GACGAACGCUGGCGGCGUGCUUAACACAUGCAAGUCGAACGGAAAGGCCUCUUUCGGGGGGUACUCGAGUGGCGAACGGGUGAGUAACACGUGAGUAACCUGCCCUUGACUUUGGGAUAACUUCAGGAAACUGGGGCUAAUACCGGAUAGGAGCUCCUGCUGCAUGGUGGGGGUUGGAAAGUUUCGGCGGUUGGGGAUGGACUCGCGGCUUAUCAGCUUGUUGGUGGGGUAGUGGCUUACCAAGGCUUUGACGGGUAGCCGGCCUGAGAGGGUGACCGGCAACAUUGGGACUGAGAUACGGCCCAGACUCCUACGGGAGGCAGCAGUGGGGAAUAUUGCACAAUGGGUGGAAGCCUGAUGCAGCAACGCCGGGUGCGGGAUGACGGCCUUCGGGUUGGAAACCGCUUUCGCUCAUGACGAAGCUUUGUGUGACGGUAGUGGGUAAAGAAGCACCGGCUAACUACGUG